rnacentral:rRNA from 1 species
UACACUCCUACGGGAGGCAGCAGUGGGGAAUUUUGGACAAUGGGCGAAAGCCUGAUCCAGCAAUGCCGCGUGAGUGAAGAAGGCCUUCGGGUUGUAAAGCUCUUUUGUCAGGGAAGAAACGGUGAAAGCUAAUAUCUUUUGCUAAUGACGGUAACUGAAGAAUAAGCACCGGCUAACUACGUGCCAGCAGCCGCGGUAAUACGUAGGGUGCAAGCGUUAAUCGGAAUUACUGGGCGUAAAGCGUGCGCAGGCGGUUUUGUAAGUCUGAUGUGAAAUCCCCGGGCUCAACCUGGGAAUUGCAUUGGAGACUGCAAGGCUAGAAUCUGGCAGAGGGGGGUAGAAUUCCACGUGUAGCAGUGAAAUGCGUAGAUAUGUGGAGGAACACCGAUGGCGAAGGCAGCCCCCUGGGUCAAGAUUGACGCUCAUGCACGAAAGCGUGGGGAGCAAACAGGAUUAGAAACCCCAGUAGUCCCA